UCUAGUUUCACUUCUCCUCUCUUCCCCGCCUCCCCCAGUCUCCUAUCCAAUUUGCAGGACCACGUGUGCGGUUCUGCAUCCCACAGUCUCUUCUCGAGUUUCUUAUACAGUUUUUGUUUUUUUCCUCUCAAGUAGUCAGGGAAAAAAAAAUGCCGAGGGGGAAAAAGGCCUGAAAUCGAAUUGCAGAUCCACCAGGCAGAGCUAUAGGUCGCGCCUGCACACAGUACCAGCUCCCAGAGUCUCCCAGGACUUCUAGGAGACUGCCUCAAAAUACACCAGCGUCCUAGGCUUGAGAAACGAGAUAAGCCUUGCUAGAUUUCCGUAGAGUGAAGGUGAAAUCGACGAGAGAAAACCCUUCUACCUGAGGUGGUGACCCUACACCCAGGCAGGACUGUAAAUCCACGCUGUUUGCCUGUGACUGAUUUGGGAUUUGGAUUUCUGAUCUGGCUGAGUGAUGUGUAAAAACCUCAAGUAGUCAACAGCUCCCUAUUGGCUAUGCAUCUGAGGGGCUCAAGAGCAUUGUUUAUUCCAGCAAGUGUCUGGAAUACAUUAUACUGGAUGAAUUGGCUCCUGCUACUCCCGUUUUGGAGAAUAUGAAGAAUUUUAUACUGUGCUAAAAUAAAUGUACUUUGUGCAAAUAACUUUCCUAAAUAAAAAAUUUUGAAUAUGACUCUAUCUUCUGAAUCCACUACUGCCAAUAUUUUAAACAUAUGGCCUUUCUGAAAGAGUAGUGAUGAAAUAAUUCUCCACACCUUCAAAUUCAGAAACUCGUUCAACAUUUAGAUCGGUUUUUAUCCAAGGCCAUAUGAAAGUGGGUUUCCCUAAAAAAAUAAAAUGGUCAGAUAUUUGGGUUGAGAACUGUUCUCUCAAACUUUAAGAAUACUAGGAUAAAG
rnacentral:lncRNA from 1 species